CCUACGGGUGGCUGCAGUGGGGAAUAUUGGACAAUGGGGGCAACCCUGAUCCAGCCAUGCCGCGUGUGUGAAGAAGGCCCUCGGGUUGUAAAGCACUUUCAGUGAGGAAGAACGCCUGGUGGUUAAUACCCAUCAGGAAAGACAUCACUCACAGAUGAAGCACCGGCUAACUCCGUGCCAGCAGCCGCGGUAAUACGGAGGGUGCGAGCGUUAAUCGGAAUUACUGGGCGUAAAGCGCGCGUAGGUGGCUUGAUAAGCCGGUUGUGAAAGCCCCGGGCUCAACCUGGGAACGGCAUCCGGAACUGUCAAGCUAGAGUGCAGGAGAGGAAGGUAGAAUUCCCGGUGUAGCGGUGAAAUGCGUAGAGAUCGGGAGGAAUACCAGUGGCGAAGGCGGCCUUCUGGACUGACACUGACACUGAGGUGCGAAAGCGUUGGUAGCAAACAGGAUUAGAUACCCGGGUAGUC
rnacentral:rRNA from 1 species